GGGGAACGGGUUAACUCCAACCCAAUGUGACGUUACCAAACUGUUGCCUCGGCGGGGUCACGCCCCGGGUGCGUCGCAGCCCCGGAACCAGGCGCCCGCCGGAGGAACCAACCAAACUCUUUCUGUAGUCCCCUCGCGGACGUAUUUCUUACAGCUCUGAGCAAAAAUUCAAAAUGAAUCAAAACUUUCAACAACGGAUCUCUUGGUUCUGGCAUCGAUGAAGAACGCAGCGAAAUGCGAUAAGUAAUGUGAAUUGCAGAAUUCAGUGAAUCAUCGAAUCUUUGAACGCACAUUGCGCCCGCCAGUAUUCUGGCGGGCAUGCCUGUCCGAGCGUCAUUUCAACCCUCGAACCCCUCCGGGGGAUCGGCGUUGGGGAUCGGGACCCCUCACACGGGUGCCGGCCCCGAAAUACAGUGGCGGUCUCGCCGCAGCCUCUCCUGCGCAGUAGUUUGCACAACUCGCACCGGGAGCGCGGCGCGUCCACGUCCGUAAAACACCCAACUUUCUGAAAUGUUGACCUCGGAUCAGGUAGGAAUACCCGCUGAACUUAAGCAUAUCAAAGGCGGGAGGAA
rnacentral:rRNA from 1 species